GACGAACGCUGGCGGCGUGCUUAACACAUGCAAGUCGAACGGUGAACCUCUUCGGAGGGGAUCAGUGGCGAACGGGUGAGUAACACGUGGGCAACCUGCCCCCGGCUCUGGGAUAACUCCAAGAAAUUGGGGCUAAUACCGGAUGUUCACCGCUUCCCGCAUGGGUGGUGGUGAAAAGGGUUUCCGGCUGGGGAUGGGCCCGCGGCCUAUCAGCUUGUUGGUGGGGUAGUGGCCUACCAAGGCGACGACGGGUAGCCGGCCUGAGAGGGUGACCGGCCACAAUGGGACGGGGACGGGGCCGGGACGCCAGCGGGACGCAGCAGCGCGGAGUGGGGCGGGAUGGGCGUAGGGCUGACACCGCCACGCCGCGUGGGGGAGGCGGGCCUGCGGGUUGUAGGCGUCUAUCAGCAGGGACGAAACGCAAGGGCCGGUACGUGCAGAAGAGGGACCGGCCCUUUAGGUG
rnacentral:rRNA from 1 species